GCGUCGCUGUUCCCCUUCCUUUUAUUAUUUAUUAUCAUUUAAAGGGGCCGCGACUUGAAAAUUUCCGUCCAGUCUUCCCCCCCCUCCCCAACAGCCCCGGGGCCGGUGGCGCGUCGCCGGACCGAGCGCGGGGCGCGAGGGGGCUUCGGGGAAGGGGGAGGGGGCCUCCCGAGACCCCUCCCCGCGUCCCGGGCCGCGGCGCUGAAUCACCGGCGAGGGCUUCUCCGAGCCUCGCUUCCUCGUCUGUAAAAUGGAGACCCGCGGGCGCCCCCGUCCUUAACCGCCCCGGCCCCACCGGGCGCCCCCUUAGCCGUCACAGCCUCGCGGCGUCCCUGCUGAGCACAGAGAGGUUUCUGCGAACACGUGAAUGAGCCGCAUGCCAGCCGCUGCCCCGGCCUGAGAAGGAGGCGCCCCCCCGCCCGCCCGGCGCUGGCAUGCCCGCCAGCCCUCCGCCUGAGCCCGGCGGCCC